rnacentral:rRNA from 1 species
GAUGAACGCUGGCGGCGUGCCUAAUACAUGCAAGUCGAACGCACCGAUCCGCACCUGUCCUUGCUCACAAUUGGGACGAGGGGGUGCGGACGGCGUAGUAACCCGACGUUAACGUAUGGAACAGCUGGGGGAAACACUUGCUAACAGGGGCUAAUACCUCAUAACAGAUUAUGCCGCAGUGCAUAACAGUGAUACUGUCUCUCGGGGAUGGCUCCGCGCUGCAUUAGCUAGUUGGUAAGGUAACGGCUUACCAAGGCAACGAUGCAUAGCCGACCUGAGAGGGUGAUCGGCCACACUGGAACUGAGACACGGCCCAGACUCCUACGGGAGGCAGCAGUAGGGAAUCUUCGGCAAUGGACGAAAGCCUGACCGAGCAACGCCGCGUGAGUGAAGAAGGUUUUCGGAUCGUAAAACUCUGUUGUUAGGGAAGAACAAGUGCGUUAGUAACUGAGCGUACCCUGACGGUAUCUAACCAGAAAGCCACGGCUAACUACGUG